rnacentral:rRNA from 1 species
AGUGAACGCUGGCGGUAGGCCUAAUACAUGCAAGUCGAACGGCAGCACAGUAAGAGCUUGCUCUUACGGGUGGCGAGUGGCGGACGGGUGAGGAAUACAUCGGCAUCUAAUUUUUCGUGGGGGACUACGUAGGGCAACUUACGCUAAUACCGCAUACGACCUACGGGUGAAAUCAGGGGUUCUUCGCACCUUGCGCGUCACAUUGAGCCGGUGUCGGAUUAGCUAGUUGGCGAGGUAAAGGCACACCAAGGCGACGAAGCGUAGCUGGUCUGAGAGGAUGAUCAGCCACACUGGAACUGAGACACGGUCCAGACUCCUACGGGAGGCAGCAGUGGGGAAUAUUGGACAAUGGGCGCAAGCCUGAUCCAGCCAUGCCGCGUGAGUGAUGAAGGCCUUCGGAUUGUAAAACCCUUUUAUUAGGAAAGAAAAGCAGCAGAAGAAAACCCCGCUGUUCUGACGGUACCCAAAGAAUAAGCACCGGCUAACUUCGUG